rnacentral:lncRNA from 1 species
AAGAGUAUUGGCUGUUUAUCAAACUUUUAUUUCCUGGCUGUGUGCAAAGAAGGGAUUCAACUCCAAUUUUUUAUCAAGGCUCUGGGUCCAGUGACAUCCCUGAAGCGCACCGCACUGGCUGAACCCAACAGAAGCCAUCAGGCGAGAGAAGCUGAAGGUGUCACUCACACAGGCUCCGGGAAAGCUCCGGUUGGAGGAGGCUUGGAGAGUGGGUGUGGUGUGGGUCUGGAAGGGCAGAUGGAAGGUUUCUAGAUAUUCAGUUGGGGGGAAAUCUUUUCCCAGGGUGGGAGAGGUAGACUUAACAGCUGUAGACCAGCUGUGUCCUCUCCUUGCUUGAAUGAAUCUUCUGGAGCUUCCCCUUGGAAGGCAUAAAUAUGCCCAGGUUUUUGACCCUAUUUUCAAAGAAAUUCUCAAACCUCAGCCAUAAAAUUCAUUAGGGUUAUUUUAUGUGCUUCUUUCAGAGAAGGGAGGUAAUGUGUAACAUCACACCAUUGGGAAAAGCCAUUGUUCUCCCUGCUUAAAGUGUAGGCCCUCACCAAGGCACAUGAGAGGCUUCAACCAUGUGCUGAAUCCUGGAGGGAUUUCUGCUUGGAGUGAGUCCUUUCAUUAGUGGUCCUCACAAGAACUACUCAUCAAAGCCCACCAUUGUUCCCCAGCAGAUCCCAACACCAUGAGAAUGAGGCUACUUGGAACGGUUCUUAGGUAUGAUUUGCUGUUUUUCUUAAUCCUGGAAGAGAACUACCCCAGUGAAUAGUUCUUGGUACAUUCACAGAGCUGAAAGCACUUGAAAUUCCUCUCCCAACUAGCAGAGCUUAACAACCGACUUACUCUAUUAACAAAAGAGAAACAAUUUCCAUUGAAUCCAAAGAGGUUUUCUAUUGUGCUGGUCAAGUUUAACUAAUAAGGGAAAUUCAAAUAAGAAUAGUCAGAGCAGAAAGCUAAGAACCUGACAUUCAGGGGAAAGAAAUUUCAGGGAAGUAGCUAAUGCAAUGAAUGGGGGGGGAGGGGCAGCGGAAAAGAGCUAAAGGCAGAGCAAGAAUAGGAGGAAUGUAUCUGAUCUGAUUGUAUCUGGGCUAGGCUUCAAAAGGUGAAUUGUCAUGCCAUUAACAACAUGAAGUAAAUCAUUCAGGUAUUAUUAAGACCUGCAACAUGACAAAUGCCACAGGCCUCCAGGGGAGCCAUACUCAGGAGAAGAUUCAGAAUUUGUGAACCAAAAGUUUACAUAUGGGACCUUCUUUUUUUACACAGAAAAAUCAAAAUUAGGUACAGGGCUUUGUAAGGAGCCUGUUCAAGUGAGGAGCCCUAAAGCUUAAGCUUCUUAGAUUCGUAGUACCACCUCUGGCUAUAUUCAAAUGUUACCCCAAAGAAUAUGCAAAAAGAUGGGGGGGGG